rnacentral:tRNA from 1 species
GCUAAUGUGUCUGAUUAAGGUAGUGUACUGUAAAUACAUUUAUGAAUAUUUAUUCCUUUAGCA